AUUAUCGUGCUCCGAGUCAUUGGGUGUUACAAAACCUAAAGGCGAAAUAAAAGUGAAGAGGGCUCAUUUUUGACUCUUSAGGGAGGAUGAGCUACUGCUCUGGUCRUUCUUAACCUGASRGSUGACCKUGUMUCCGCACUCCCGGGGSGGCUCUUUCUCAUUGCAAGUGGAGGCCCACCAAAAUCGAGCACGCUGAAACCCGAGAGAURGUKAACUAUGCCUGGCCNGGACGAAGCCAGGGGAAACCCUGGUGGAGGUCCKCAKCGAUUCUGACGUGCAAAUCCAUCGUCRGAGCUGGGUAUAGGGGCUAAAGACCAAUCUAACCAUCUAAUAGCUUGUUCCCUCUGAAGUUUCCCUCAAGAYAGCUUGSCCUCUGAUGUGAAGAGUCUCAUYCNGUAAAGCUAAUGAUUAUAAGCCNUGGGGUUUGAACGACCUUUCCUAUUUUCAAACUCCMAAUACAUUAAAACCCCNGSNKNGAUGAAGAUUGCAUAAAUAUUUCUGAAGCCGCGGGACUCGGAUCAGAGUGCCAAGUGGGCCAAUUUUU
rnacentral:rRNA from 1 species